GGGGAAUAUUGCACAAUGGGCGAAAGCCUGAUGCAGCAACGCCGCGUGAGUGAUGAAGGUCUUCGGAUUGUAAAGCUCUGUCUUUUGGGACGAUAAUGACGGUACCAAAGGAGGAAGCCACGGCUAACUACGUGCCAGCAGCCGCGGUAAUACGUAGGUGGCGAGCGUUGUCCGGAUUUACUGGGCGUAAAGGAUGCGUAGGCGGAUGUUUAAGUGAGAUGUGAAAUCCCUGGGCUUAACUUGGGGGCUGCAUUUCAAACUGGAUAUCUAGAGUGCGGGAGAGGAGAAUGGAAUUCCUAGUGUAGCGGUGAAAUGCGUAGAGAUUAGGAAGAACACCAGUGGCGAAGGCGAUUCUCUGGACCGUAACUGACGCUGAGGCAUGAAAGCGUGGGUAGCAAAC
rnacentral:rRNA from 1 species